UAGAUAAAACUGUAAAACCAACUUUUCCAGCACUACCGCCUAAGAUAGAUUCCCCUUACCGUAUCGUAGGUACUUAGAAAACGUCCUAACACGUCAUUUCUAUGGCUAAAAGAUAUCAAAAGCGCUAGUCUAGAGAACAGUUUGUUGCAUGUGGGCUUGUAUUUACAAAGGGAAUGUGAUAGGUCUUGUAACGGGUGCACGUGGUGUUUUCCGUUUUUUGCAUAUUGUAUAUAUUGCGGUGUUAGGGGGGUAACUUGACGUUCUUCUUUAACAGAUCCGUAAGAGGGGAAAUUAGUGAAGAAAAGUUUAGUGUGGAACGUCUGUACCAAGAACUCAUGCCGGUGAUUCUUCUGACUUCAGGAACUAUCGUCGGAAUGGGAAUCUGAGUAUGCUUCAACUUUACCUAGGUCUACCAGAAGAUGGUGUUCAAAAAUUGGAGUGCAAAUUGUGAUGUCAUCCAAGUAGCUGAAUACAUGGGGGGAAUUGUGAAGUCCGAAGGGCAUCUACGGAACUGGAAAAAACUUCUGUUGGGUACUGUGAACGCGGUAUAUGGCUUCAGUGAGUCUACCAUUGCUUGUCGAGAGUGGCGUUGACGUAUGGGAGAGGAUAUGCAUCUGGUUCGCGGACUUGUAUUUAAUCGCCGGAGGUCUACACAGAAGCCAUCCCAAGCUCGGAUUGUUUAUUAUGAAUUGCGCCCAACGUGGGAUUCAUAUUUUAAAAAACAUCGCCGAUCAACGUGCAGGUAUCUGUCAAAAAACGUUACUUUGCGUUAUUUCGUAUGGGAAAAUAACGUUUUGUGUAGAUAAUUACCUACACGUUAAAUUUAACGUUACUGACAGAAUACAGGGCUGAAUUUCUUGACAUAUAUAAGAACUGCGUCAUUACGUCCGACGAGAACACCCCACGCGGAAUCACCUUGCUGCUGCAGGAUGCAGGACGAUGUCGCCAUAUGGUGGCAGGGAACCUCUUCCAAACACAAGGCGA